ACGGGCGGGGUGGGCGGAGCCGGGAUAACCGUGCAGGGUUCGAUGGGGCUCGGUGUCCCUCAGCCGCCCAGCUCCUCCGGCUUGUGCGGAGCACGCCCGGGGCUGGGGACGCAGGUCCGGCUCAGUACGCGCGCUGAUCCUCCAUCCCCCCACAGGGACCUCGAAGCAGAGGCCUGACGCGGAGCCAGGAAGCGGUGGAGAGGGCCGACCGGCGGCAGGAGAGCCGGGCCCUCUGGGCUGCAGGUGCAAGCUCCUGAAUGUGAUCUGCGUUGAGGAGGGCCCCCUGGUGGGUUCCUGCCCACACUGGUCCUCACAUCAGCCUCAUCUGCCACCUGCUCCAGGUGCACAGGAGAAAACAGGGAGCCAAAAAUUGCCAUCAUCAAGGAUUAUGGGAGGCUAGUAAAGCCUGGCUGUCAGAGCUGUGGCUUCACUAAGGGGCACUAGUGGGUGCUUCCCCUUGGAUUAGGAAGGGGCACCCAUUCCUGCACUCUCCAGUCAAGUUUACAACACUCAUCCCAUGAAAAGCAUCUCCCAGAGCACCAGCAGUCCCUUGACAGCAAGGGAUUGGAAAACUCUUCUCAGAAGUCUGACCAGCCCUAAAACAUAAAACAAACCUUCCACAUUGCCCAGCAGUUGAUCUCGGCAUCAACAAGCCCCACCAUGUACUCAAGAAAUUUCCCACCACCUUGAAUCUGCCUGGACAGCCCAAGGUCAUGUGGCAAAGUCAAAACAGAAACCAACGAAGAUAACCAAACAAAACUAUCUUGAAAGAAACAGAGACUAUGUGAAAAAGGAAAUUCUGAAAGGAAUAAUAUAUUGCCGGCUUCAGACAGAAUGAAAAAGUAUCACAUCCUUGAAGUCAUCAAAAACAUAUUUAGCAUGCCUAUAUGUCCUUACUCUCUCAGCUGAGAUGGCCUAGAAGCAAUGACACCGCAGCAGCCAAAGCACACCCAGAACCCAGGAACUGUUUUCUAAUGCCAUUCUCCAACAGAAGAAACCAGGGGUCCUAAAUCAACAGUAGCUGAUUCUCAGGCUGGGGCAGGAGAUGUACAAGAUGAGUCUGGAGCAUCUUGUGGUACAGGAAAGUAAGGAAGGGGCACCUGGGUGGCUCAGUCGGUUGAGCAUCCGACAUCGGCUCAGGUCAUGAUCUCACAGUUUGUGGGUUUGAGCCCCGCAUCACGC